rnacentral:lncRNA from 1 species
AUGGCUUACCUACGCCGGGGGUGGCUUGAGCAGGCAUUUUUGUUAAUAACAGUACAGAAAAAAACAUUAACAUGCACCAGGAAAGAGAAGAACAGGCGAGAUGAAAGAGUUGCUAAAGAUAAUGCAAAAAGAAUACUGCUCUGCCAUUUUCAGUUGCUCAUUCUCAGUAAAUCCUGGUGGACUGUCAUCUUGUCAAAGAGUUUAAUGAUAGCAUGUUGCCUAAUGGCAGCAAAAUUAGC